AAAGCCGCUUACUCGCGUCGACGAAAAAUUAAAUUUGUGAGCUGACAACGAAAACUGAAACACCGGAAGGCUAAAAUGGGUUACACUGCCGUUAUCAUCAUCUCCUUUCUGUUUUUGUCUUCAUUCACCGUUGAUGCCUCCUGGACCAAAGUACCAGGAUACAAGUUCAUCAGCGGAACAAGUCUGGGAUCAGAAACUACUUACUUUGGAGACCUUGAUUACGCCAGGCCUCUGUGCCAACAAAGGUGCGAUGAUCGUCCGCCUUGCAAGGGUAUUCGCCUGUACAACUUUGCUGGUACAGUAUACUGUACUCUGUUUGAAAAUAUCAGUGGUUAUUCAUGCCCGACUGAUAGCGCUACCACUGACUGGAACUGCCUUUUUGCUGAAGGAGAGUCGUGGACAAAAAGCAACUGAAAAGGACAUGCACUGAAGACUUGGCUUACACUCUAUAUAUCUCCUUCCAAAAUAAAGAUGACACGUACUCAGAAUUUUCCGUAGCUUGUUUAAUUAAUAAAAAAGGGCUUCUUUAACUAAUAUAACCCUACAUUGACACAAUGUAAUUGAAAGCAAUUUCCUAAAUUUCGACAGAAAGUAUACGAUCAGGAUCAUUUCAAAGGAUACAGACUGUAAGAAAUAAGUAGCUGCAAGAACAGACUUGUGUUGAGAAAUCAAAUACAAACAAAAAACAAACAUACAAAUUCUCCUUUGUGUUCCCAAAAUAUUUCUUAUAGUAACAGCUGGAAGAAUUCGUUUAAAUAUCAAAACAGUUUUUGUGAUAUUUUCAAUUCUUUAAUCUAGUGUUUUA